GGUGACUGCAGCUACGGAAUGACAGCGACCCGACAGAUCGUGCUGCGUAGGAUAAGCAAACUUUUCUGAUGGCGGAUCCCAGCUGUAGAUUGUUUAUCAGCAGUGUUUUUGUAGGGCUAAAUAAAUAUUUAAUAUUUAAACGACAGGGAUCCUUGGAGCCUUGAGGAACAUCAGGCCCCAGCACUAAAUAACCGUGUCAGUGCCACCGACAGCGGGCCCUGCCCCGACCUGGGACAGACAGACUGCCCUGCAGGCGCCGGGUGUAUGCGGAUGUCUUGUCGCUGGACAGCCAGGACGGACGGACGGACAGCUGGACAGCAGGGCAGCGGGCAGCUCGUGUCCCAGCACGCACAGGCUGGCUGCAGCGCGUCCCACUUCUGCUGCCAGGAACGGGGAGAAAGGCCGAAGCACAAACACUUGCAGCAGCAGUAACACUGAAGUGCGAUUUUUAAAUCUCUUUUUAAAUCACUUUAAGAGUGCAGCUACUUAAAGUUGAUAUAUCCAAGCAUUUAACUCUCAUUAACGUUCAUUCAGAUGCUGUAAGAAAAGCAGACAAAUUUUGAAUAUGCAAAAAGGCCCAGAGCUGGCUUAUUUGUUACACAGCCGUUUUGCAUUGCGGUGCUGCAGCAAACUGGUCUCAGGGCUGGCAAAGCAAGCAGACGGGUGAGCAUUCCCAUAGAACUAUUUGGCCUGCUGUAUGCAGGACUAUUUUAUUUGGUCGGUCGUGUGCAUUGUCAGUGUUUCUCUGUUGGUGUUACUAUUAUGCACUAUUAGAGCUAUCUGUCCUAGUUGUCUGCAGCUGGUGUAAAAUAAUCUUCAGAUUGUUUUUAUCGCACCACAGGCUUCAGAUAAACCACAACAGUGUGCAGAAUUAAGAAAGAUUAAGGGGGAAGAAUAUUAGAGGAGGGGAACAAAAUGAAAAAAUUUAACUGUCAUUAUCCUCAGAUGCGACACACUUCUGUGAGAAUAUGGGUAAAAAACAUGAAGAACUGAAAGCCAUGUUUAUAAUAUUAAUAAGCGUUAAAAAAUCAACAAGAACAUGUCAAAAAUAAAUCAUGGGAUCUUGGCUUCAGCGAGGAUUCCCAUGCUAUAUCAUCUACCUUUCUCAUAAGAAGGCUAGAGGAAUGUGGGCUAUGUGAAACUUACAUGAAAUGGUUACAAAAUGGCACUCAGAAGUAACUCCAAGUGAUUCACAUUCAAAACCAGAAGUUUGUAGCAAGUGAGAUUUCCAAAUAUUUAUGUCCUGAAUCCCAAAGUGCCUAAUUUUACUUGGUGCAAUAUGACAGAGAAUAUUUUUAUUAUCUUUGUGAAGGAUAUCCUGUUCAGGUGAGAGCUGCAAGCAUUUUGGAAGACAGAACUGAACAAAUCAUGACAAGUUGAAACAAAGUUCUAAAGUAAAUAGGAUGUAAUUCCAUGAAGCAAGAAACUUAAGUAAAGCUGGGAAUAACUGACUGCAAAACUGUAAGCUGGAGACAAACUGGCUAAGCAGUUACUUUACAAAAAGAAGUCUUGGUUCAGAGCAGUUCACAAAAGAAAAUGAGUCAACAGUGAUUCAGUGUUGUAAAAAAAAUGUGACGACUUUACUGGAAUGUAGAAAAAGACUGUCAAGCACAAGAAAAGUGAAGUAAUGUUUCCACUCCACUGAGCUCAAAAAGGCUUUUGGUGAAGAAAACUUCUCUGUUUUGGGCACCUCCUUCAAUCAGGGAGAGUUCUGCGGAGAAUGUGAUAAGCUACCAGAAGUCUGGAAAACCCAAGCGUGACUGAAAGAAGUUCAGAUAGAUACCUGAAAAGCCAGCAAAGACAUAUGAAAUGUACAGCCUGGGCAAUCUGAGAAUUUGAAAUGAAGAAAGCAGUUUGUUUAUGAGAAAAGUGAAUACACACACCAGCCCAACUGUUUAGUAAUGGAAAUAACUUUUUGCUGCAUAAUAAACUCUCAAGCUAAAGCACUGAUUAUCACGAGCCUUUCUUUCUUAGUGUACUCAAAUCCUCAUACCUGUAAUGUCCUGGGAGGUGCGAGAAAUAUCCUGAAGACAUAGAGCAGCCACAUGCUGAGAAGAAAAUCCUUUAUUUUAAAAUCCACUGAAGUAAAAAAAAAAAAAAAAAAAUCAAUGCCAGGCCUCUCCCGUAUUAUCCACUAUGGGGAGCUGAAGGCUAAUAUUGCUGGACAGAUGGCAAUUAAGAAUCCAGUUGCAUUCUAAAUUGGAGCUAUAAAGUCCAUGUGUAUUAAUUUUCACAACCUGAAUGCUGCAAAGCUCACAUGUAAGUAUUUGUUUUGACAGGAAUGCCAUUUAACCUUCUCUGAAGGAUAAUGGAAAACCAAAGCCAAGGUCAUCCAGCAUUUGCCCAGAAGGGGCAUUGCCAGCACCCACUCCUUCUGCCACUGCUAGAGACUUGUCUGAAUCAGAAACCAGGGCACUGUGAGGGACUGCCUGAAAUGUCUGAAAAUAGGCUCGAGGAAGGAUUCCUAUUCAGGAGGUAAUCUACCUUAUCCACAUAAAUAAUUGGAGGAAAUUACAUAGUUUGGAACAAAACCAACAAUUCUGGGGGCAGGUAUGCUGGAAAAAUAUAUUCUAUUUUCAGAUAUACCUGUGUGUAACUUGUAUGGACAGAAUGGUUCCAGAAACUUUUUGUCUCUGUAUGUAUUUUUGUAUAUUGUUUUAAACCAGAAUUGCAAAAAUAAAAAUAAAACUUUAAAGAG